UAUUGGCAAUGCACUGCUUUCCCUUGUCUAUACCUUAUUGCAGUUCUAGAAUUUUUAAUAGAAAUGAUCAAAAAUUUGGAAAUUAGACAACUCAAUCUUCUCCUCCAAAUGCAUUUUUUUUUGCAUUUUAUGAAAAUCGGCUUAGACAGUUCACUUUACUGGUAUGAUGAUAUGUAUACAAUUAUGAAAACAAUUCAUAAACGAAGACAAAACUUAUUACAGGCAAAGGAGGGUUUUAUACCUGAAAAGAUUUGUAAUCCUCAAGUAGAAGAGGUUACAAUUGAUUUAGAUAGUAGAGUGAUGCCGAAUCAGUGAUAUCUGUUGGAAAGAUGUCUCUCGACUCGGUUAGCUCAGUGCACACAAGUGAGUCAUCAUCUUUUGAAGACAAUAUUAGUAUUUGUUCAGAUGAUGAAGGAGAAAAGAAAUAUGUUCCUUUGAAAGUUGCGAAUGAAAUGUAUCUUCGAGGCAAACUUUCUCAGAUUUACGAAUUUGGAAAAAACAGUGAAAGAUUGAAACGAAAGAAGGAGGCAUCUACUUCUCGAAUGAAAUGUAUCUUCGAGGCAAACUUUCUCAGAUUUACGAAUUUGGAAAAAACAGUGAAAGAUUGAAACGAAAGAAGGAGGCAUCUACUUCUGUGAUUUUGAAAUUUUGAUUUUUAAAUUAUUUAUUUUUUUUGAACAUGAGCAUAGUGAGUCACUUAUCUUUUACAUUUUCUUUCUGCGAAUGAAAUGUAUCUUCGAGGCAAACUUUCUCAGAUUUACGAAUUUGGAAAAAAACAGUGAAAGAUUGAAAUGAAAGAAGGAAGCAUCUACUUCUCGAAUGAAAUGUAUCUUCGAGGCAAACUUUCUCAGAUUUACGAAUUUGGAAAAAACAGUGAAAGAUUGAAAUGAAUGAAGGAGGCAUCUACUUCUGUUUCAAAGGAUUUAACCAAGAUAAACAAUUCAGGAAAUGACAGUUUUUCAGUUCGUAAAGUUUUGCCUCAGAGUUAGGAAACCUAAUCCUAAGUAUAAUUCUGAAACUACUAUGUAUUGCGAUUUCAAGGAUUAUUCAUUGCCACAUGUUGAUACAUUAUUAUCAAGUUCUCAAGAUGAGAUGGAUGACAAGACUUUUGAACCCACUAAAAUCCAGGGAAAGCAUAAAAGGUCAAGCUUUGGAUAAAGGAACUAGCUCUACUCCUCCUAAGAUUUCAUCAGCUCAAAACAUUUCAGCAUCAAAGGGAAGAAAGGCAAAUAACUCCCCUAAAUCGAAAACUUCUACAAAACGGUAUGAUACCUCCGAUUUGUACAAGCCUUGCCCAAUGACUGGAGGCAUAUAGGAUCACGAAGCACGGCUGUCACUUUAUUUUCAACAUAAAUUCCAUUUCAUGUUCAAUUCUUGUAAUGAACCUUGAGUGACAAUAUUUACCACUCAAGAUAUUUCUCACAGUAUUUUCCGAUUCCUCAGAAAUUACUGUACAUGGCUAAUAACUCAUUAAUCUAGAUUUUAGUUAAUAUUUUUUUUUUAUAUUUCUUUUUAUUUCCAGUAUACUCAAUUUGUAUAUGCACGGUGUUUGAAUAAUUUCUUACUGAAACACUUGUGAAUUAAAUGUGCUACAUUCAAUUUUGUAAAUGUGGAAUAGCAACUUUGUUUUAGCUUUAAUUCUUGUUCUCCUCUCAUCAAUAUGUUGUAAUGUUUUUCAGAUUAAUUUCAAUUAAAAUCUGUCAUUUCUAGUUUAAAUCAAUUGAAAUUCUAAUUUUUUGGCUGCAGUGUUUAUAUUAUUAUGAUUCUGUUUAUAUUCACUUUAGAAAUCCUUU